rnacentral:rRNA from 1 species
CAAUAGCGUAUAUUAAAGCUGUUGCGGUUAAAAAGCUCGUAGUUGGAUUUCUGUCAAGGACAACUGGUCCGCCCUCCGGGUGAGCACAUAGUUUGGUCUUGACAUCUUGCUGGAAGCUGUUGCUGCACUUGGCUGUGUGGCGCAGUGUUCAGCACUUUCACUUUGAGGAAAUUGGAGUGUUUCAAGCAGGCACAUGCCUUUGGACACAGUAGCAUGGAAUAAUUAGAUUGGGCUUUUGCUCCAAUUUGUCGGUUUCUGGAGCUGAGGUGAGUAUUAAUGGGGAUUGUUGGGGGCAUCCGAAUUUAGCCGUCAGAGGUGAAAUUCUUGGAUCUGCUAAAGACGGACAACUGCGAAAGCGUUCGCCCAGGAUGUUUUCAUUGA